AUGUUGAUUGCUGAUUUUUCAUAUUUGAUGUUAUAUAUUCAGCUCAUACCAUACAUGAAUUUGCAAUGCCAUGUACUUGUUGAUGGCAAGGUCAGGACUGAUAAGAUCUACCCUGCUGGGUUCAUGGAUGUCAUUUUCAUCCCUAAGACAAACGAGAACUACAGGUUGCUUCCGUCUUCACCCAAUCAGGGAUGAGGAUGCCAAAUUCAAGCUCUGCAAGGUGAGGUCUGUUCAAUUUGGCUAGAAAGGUAUCCCCUACCUGAACACCUACGACGGCCACACCAUCCGCUACUCGACCCGCUCAUCAAGGCCAACGACACCAUCAAGAUCGAUCUAGAGACCAACAAGAUCAUGGACUUCUUCAAGUUUGACGUCGGCAACGUGGUCAUGGUGACCGGCGGGAGGAACAUCGAGCGUGUAGGAGUGAUCAAGAACUGGGAGAAGCACAAGGGCAGCUUCGAGGUCAUCGAUGUGCUGCUUGGAGCUUUUUGCAUGCUAUGUCUAGUUUUCUCCUAUUUGUUGUACAGGAAAACAUAGAAUGGAAUUCAAAUUUGGUGGUCGCAAAAGUGUGGAGACUUGAAUUCAUAUAAAGUUAGGCUUAACAUUAGUGCAAACAGUUGUAUUUUAGUUUAGAUUUAGAGUACACUUAUGUAUGCCUUGUUUGACAAUGCUUAUUUAUGAUAUAUUG